AUCAGCUGUUCCUUGUAACAAAACAUUCAUAUUGGAUGCAAAACCAUGCAAUAAAAUAUAAUUACACCAACAAAUGGUUGACAUAUGAUUAUUCUAUUUGGGAUCAGAAGUUCAUACUACGGGAACCACAAAGCCAUGACUUGAGAAUUGUAUAAUGUGAACCAAUGAAUUUUAUGAUGGAUCAUCUGCUUACCAAUGACCUCUCUGAACCAUCUUUAUCUGCAAGUAAAUGGCAUAGCAAAUGAUGUCAAAAUUAUGGACCACGAGGCUUGCGGAAACAGAAACAACUAAUCUGAUCUUCAGUAAUCAUGCCACCCCCUUUACUUGUAUCAAUGGCUUCCAACAAUUUUACGACCUCGUCCAUGUCAGGUCGCCUUUCUGGAUUUGCGUCCCAACAUCUUUUCAUGAUAUUUGCGAACGAACUCGGGCAGCAUCUAGGGAUAUCCGGUCGUAAAUUCUGUCGCACAACUGCAGAUGACACUUCAGCAAAACUGAGAUCUGGGUAAGGCAUAUCGCAGCAAUACGUUUCCCACAAACAUAUACCAAAACUGUAGACAUCACAUUUCCGAUUAUAAGGUUUACCAUCAAGGACCUCUGGGGCCAUGUAACCAAGGGUGCCAGUCUCUCCAGUCAUAUCCCUUGGGUUCUGUGCUUCAACCCGGGCAACGCCAAAAUCAACAAUUUUCAGAGUCUUCUGAGCAUCUAGCAGCACAUUCUCUGUUUUAA
rnacentral:misc_RNA from 1 species